UAUAUUUCGGCUGAGGCAUUGCUGGGCAGAGUCAGAUAAAAACCUGAGGUUUCCAUGAUUGUUGAAAUCACUUUUGAACAACACACACUAACGGUAGUUAUUUUAUCCUGUUGCGUCCAAUAUCCUCCGAGUCUAGGACCCAGCAGUGUUGCCAAGUACGUUGAUUAUAAGCGACUUUGGGCUUGUUUUUCUGUUAAGUCGCUUACAAAUAUUGAUAGUCGCGGGUCGCGUUUGUUUUGGGCUUUUUUCUAAAGUGUAGUUGCUUAUUUGGGCUUGUUCCCAGCUCCAUAAUAAGUUGUCAAGCAGAUAUUUUCUAUGUUAUUUAAACGAGUUUAUCUUGCCUGUUCCCUCUGUCCAUCUCCUUUCCCCAUACACACAGGAGACAGCAGAGUUUUCACCCACCCACAUCCUGCUUCUAAUUGGGUCUGACCCAGAUGGCAACGAGUACUAGCCAGAGCUGGGCAAUCGGUUUUUUUCUGUUUAGGAAAACGUUAGUGAGUGACGUUUGAAUGAAAAUACACGCGAGUCGCGACUGAUGGUGACUGGACUGUAGGAGAGUUUUUGGAGGAACAAAUGCCCGGGACAAAGUGGGCGAAAUACGGGAAGAAAUAUAACAAAUACUUGGAGAAAGAGAAAGGAAUAAAAGAAUGGAUUAAACCCGUCGUGGGGGACGACUCAAAAGCACUGUGCAGAGUAUUGCUCUUCGCCGCCGUGAGUAUGCAAAGAUCUACAGCCUCAUCAAUCCUGGUGAAAUCCCUUUGAUGCUUGUACAGAUGUCAGAUGAGCCUGGUCAAGUCCAAACUGAGGAACAGAAUGGGACAAGAAACUCUCAGCAGCAAAUUCCACAUAAAAUAAGGACUGAGAAGACAAGGCAUAUGCUGCAAGGACUUUGCCUCAAGCAAGGAGACGUUCCAGUGCUUCAAUAGUCGCAUGUAGUCUGUGAGUGGAGCACCAGAGAGCAGGGACACGGAUGCAGAUGAAGACAGUGAAGAUGGAUUUAAAGCACAAGCUCUGGCCUCUACACAUGAAGGAAACAGCAGUGGAGGUAUGAAGACACACCUGAAGACAGUACAAGUCCAUGUUCUACAGAGAUUGAAACUGCCUACUCUGUACCUGUCCUGUGGCGUCUUAAGCUCAUAUGCCACUUUGACAUUUGACUUUGAUUGGCCCUCUUUGGGUCACCACACUCUCCUCAACUAAACAAGAGGAUAGUUACAUUCUCAUUUCACACACAUUUUUUUUAAUGUUUUGUUUUUAUUAUUUAUAUGGUUUUAUUAUGUUCUUGUUUGGAUGUAGGCCAUCAAGAACGUCUGAAUGUAGAACUAAAACAUGUUGAAUGUUUCAGGAUAUUGAAGAUAUUUUCAGAUAUUUCAUAGAUUCUGUUCAGACAAAUUGUUAUUAAAUGUUUAAUUUGCACCUUGGUACCUGAAGCAACUUGAAAGAUAAUGGUGGUGUUAUUCUUCAUAUAUAUGAGGCUAAAGUGUUAUGAUUCUUAAAAAUGUUUUAGACCAAGCCUCAUCCUCACCUGUUCAAAUGGUUUUGACUGGAAUGGUUUUUAAACCAGUUUAGUUUAUUUAAAUCUUUUCUAACUCACUCUUAUGUUUAUCAGAGCAGGAGCCACUUUAUUGCUGCACACUAAGAUUAUCAAUAAUUACUUCUGUUUCUGGGUUAUAGUUAUUUAAAAAUGGGAUCUUCUGCAGUCCCUGCAAUAAUAAAUAAACAAUUUGUGAAUUCA
ensembl:lncRNA